AUUCGGUAGAGCAUUUGGUUGGAAGAAUUGUGGGAAUGAAAGGUUUUCAACCUAUUCUUAGACUUUCAAUGAGUAUGACGUCUCACUUGCUUGAAUGAAGCGUAGACAUUGAAUGUGUGCUCCGAGUGAACCAUUUCUGAUAAGCAGAACUGGCGCUGUAGGAUGAACUA
rnacentral:ncRNA from 1 species